GACUCUGUAAACUGCUUAGAGAGGGCUGUAAAGCACUUUGAAGCGGUAAAUAAGUCUAAGUUGCUAUUGCUAUCCCGUGACCAUGAAAAUGCUGCAGAAGUCAUAAGUGAGUAGUCAUAAGGCACUUUUUCUAGUGCUACUAUAACUUCAAGCAAUCACUUAUAAAUUGUUAUAAGUUGAGAUAUAUAUUUAGCCUAAAGUCAGAUCAAUGAAUUCAAACUCUAAUAUGACCAUCCUAUGCACCAGAAAGUAAUCUCAAUGAAACUUUUUUUCUAAAAAGGUAUGUUUAUUGUGAGACUGUAACACACUGCAGUUUUUUUCAGCACUGAGAAGAUUUAAUGCGCAAAGAACAUAAAUUAAUUGUUUAAAUGAAAAUGCAAUUUAUAUUACCAUAAUAUACUAUAGUUAAGUUAAUGCAUGGUAUAUAUUAUGGUAAUAUAAUAUAUACCAUUACUAAUAUGAUCAAUAUUGAAUUCAUGUGCCCUUUCUGUUUUACUCUGGUCAUUCUUAUACUGCGAGAUAAUUCCCAGAAUUUAUCACCGUAUGAUUUUGAUAAGACUUUUUUGCUUUACACCAUGCCUAAAUAUAUUACAAUAAGUAUUAGCUAUAAAUACCUCCUAACUAAAUGUAUUGUGUGCAUGAUAUUUUGUCAAGCAUAGAUCUUCAUCCUCAACAGAGAAUAAAUGAAUACAUAUAUAUGCUGUGCAGAGAUGGUAUUCAGCCAGUUCGCACUGGUUCAUGUGAACCGUUGGCGGAAAUUUGGCCAAGGUCGGCAAACUGGUAGUGACGGUGGCUGGCCAUGCCCCCAACAGGUCGCCUAGUUACCGCUCACUCCCCUCGCCCACCCGCUCGACGCUCAUUCACUUGCCCUGCCAAUCCGAGCCCUAUAUAUGCUGUCACUUCACCAGACGGACCAGCUACAUGCCUCGCCAGUCACCUACAUGCCUCACCUGCUCUAUUCAGCUCACCAAAGGAUGCAUCAAAAUCCUAUAACAUUCUGCUGAAGAAGAAAAGAAGACUCCCUCACUUGUCUUUUGUGACCAAUGUCAACACUUUGAUUUGGAUGCCAUAGUUAGUAGAAGAUGCAGUUGAUGUUAUUUUAGCUCUUCUUUACCAAUAGGAAUGGAUACUUUCCUAACCAUAUUUUCUAAAAAUUUGCAUAGGCCCUUUAGUUGCUGGACUCCCACCCUUAUAAAACUGAACGAGAAGAGAUAGAAAAAGGUGAUGGUGAACCUCUAUUUACAGAAAUAAUUCUACCAUGUGUAAAAUAAGAGGUGAUAUGAACUUUCUCCAAAAGUACUUUUUUGGGGAAGAUGUUUACAUUUUGAUGCUACCUCAGUACCAUAUAUUAUUGAAUACAGUUGGAAGUGAGAGUAACAUAUAUGCCGCCUUGGAUGUAAAAGAUGAUAUAUAUCUCAAAUAAAUAAUAAUUGCUUUUCAA